rnacentral:lncRNA from 1 species
CAAGGGAACAAUCAGGGAAGAAGGAACGCAAGACGGUGGAAGCAUGCCAACCUAUUAAACCGCAAGUCAGAGAUCAAACCAUGUACUUGAAUCUCUCAAGUUCCCGGCUUAACCCUCUUCCAAGUAUCCUCAUUUGAAAAUGGAAAAAGAAAAGAAAUGGAGGCAUUGUGUGAUAUUUGCCUAAAUAUAACUAAAGAGAUCCAUUUAUUUUUAGUGUUUGAUUAAAAACCCUCAAAGGAAAAGAGAAAUUUUGAUCUUUGAGAAGAGCUGUUUCAUCACAGGGUGAAGUUGUUUCCUGAGCCCUUUGAUCUGAAAUGACCUUGCGACCUGGAACCAGCAGACAGCCUGAGGGAGGCAGUGCAUGUUCUGAGCCAGGGCCUCAGGAGGCCUGCAGCUGCCAUUCUGCUUCUGUUGGAACAUGACCUCCUUGAGAACACUCCCAGGCCUGACUGCAGGGUGGGGAGACCACACAGAGCAGAGCCGAGCCACCGGGAUGAGGCCCCUAGAUCACCCAGCUCCCAGCUGACCACAGAUCAUGAGUGAUCCCGUUUCUCCCUAGGUCAAGGGUGAUGUUUUGCUCAGAGAAAACUGAAGUUUGGAUUGUUCCAGUCCUGCAUCACAUCCUGUUUCAGGCUGCCCUAAAACAAAACCAGAAACAACCAUCACCACAAAACACCAUACCUUCAAUAGUCUUCUCAGUGUUCAGAAUAAAGGCUCUGGUUUUCCCUUGGGCUCAAUUUU